GACGAACGCUGGCGGCGUGCUUAACACAUGCAAGUCGAACGGAAAGGCCCUGCUUUUGUGGGGUGCUCGAGUGGCGAACGGGGGAGUAACACGUGAGUAACCUGCCCUUGACUUUGGGAUAACUUCAGGAAACUGGGGCUAAUACCGGAUAGGAGCUCCUGCUGCAGGGUGGGGGUUGGAAAGUUUCGGCGGUUGGGGAUGGACUCGCGGCUUAUCAGCUUGUUGGUUGGGUAGUGGCUUACCAAGGCUGUGACGGGUAGCCGGCCUGAGAGGGUGACCGGCCACAUUGGGACUGAGAUACGGACCAGACUCCUACGGGAGGCAGCAGUGGGGAAUAUGGCACAAUGGGCGGAAGCCUGAUGCAGCAACGCCGCGUGCGGGAUGACGGCCUUCGGGUUGUAAACCGCUUUCGCCUGUGACGAAGCGUGAGUGACGGUAAUGGGUAAAGAAGCACCGGCUAACUACGUG
rnacentral:rRNA from 1 species